AGCAGCCGCGGUAAUUCCAGCUCCAAUAGCGUAUAUUAAAGUUGUUGCAGUUAAAAAGCUCGUAGUUGAAUUUCGGGGUCAGUAGAUUGGUCAUGCCUCCGGUAUGUACUGGUCUUACUGGCUCCUCCUUCCUGAUGAACCGUAAUGCCAUUAAUUUGGUGUUGCGGGGAGACUGGACUGUUACUUUGAAAAAUUGAGUGUUUAAAGCAGGCUAACGCUUGAAUACAUUAGCACGGAAUAAUGAAAUAGGACGUUCGAUCUUAUUUUGUUGGUUUCUAAGAUUGACGUAACGAUUAAUAGGGAUAGUUGGGGCAUUAGUAUUCAAUUGUCAGAGGUGAAAUUCUUGGAUUUAUUGAAGACUAACUACUGCGAAAGCAUUUUGCCAAGGAUGUUUUCAUUAAUCAAGAACGAAAGUUAGGGGAUCGAAGACGAUCAGAUACCGUCGUAGUC
rnacentral:rRNA from 1 species